rnacentral:rRNA from 1 species
GACGAACGCUGGCGGCGUGCUUAACACAUGCAAGUCGAACGGUAAGGCCCUUCGGGGUACACGAGUGGCGAACGGGUGUGUAACACGUGGGUGAUCUGCCCUGCACUUCCGGAUAAGCCUGGGAAACUGGGUCUAAUACCGGAUAUGAACACUGCCUGCAUGGGUGGUGGUGGAAAGCUUUUGCGGUGUGGGAUGGGCCCGCGGCCUAUCAGCUUGUUGGUGGGGUGAUGGCCUACCAAGGCGACGACGGGUAGCCGGCCUGAGAGGGUGACCGGCCACACUGGGACUGAGAUACGGCCCAGACUCCUACGGGAGGCAGCAGUGGGGAAUAUUGCACAAUGGGCGCAAGCCUGAUGCAGCGACGCCGCGUGAGGGAUAACGGCCUUCGGGUUGUAAACCUCUUUCAGCACCGACGAAGCGCAAGUGACGGUAGGUGCAGAAGAAGGACCGGCCAACUACGUGCCAGCAGCCGCGGUAA